rnacentral:rRNA from 1 species
GUGGGGAAUCUUGCGCAAUGGGGGCAACCCUGACGCAGCAACGCCAUGUGAAGGAUGAAGGUCCUAGGAUUGUAAACUUCUGUUAUGUGGGAAGAAGUCAUAGUUUACUAUGAUUGACGGUACCACAUGAGAAAGCACCGGCUAACUCCGUGCCAGCAGCCGCGGUAAUACGGAGGGUGCAAGCGUUAUUCGGAAUUACUAGGUGUAAAGGGUGCGUAGGUGGUCUUUUAAGUCAAAUGUUAAAUCCAUCAGCUCAACUGAUUGGCUGCAUUUGAAACUGAUUGACUUGAGUAUAGAAGAGGAAAACGGAAUUCCCAGUGUAGCGGUGAAAUGCGUAGAUAUUGGGAGGAACACCGGUGGCGAAGGCGGUUUUCUGGUCUAUUACUGACACUGAGGCACGAAAGCUAGGGGAGCAAACAGG